rnacentral:lncRNA from 1 species
UAAAUAAACAAAUCAUUAUUACUAAAAAGCCAUGGAUACAAAUUGUUAUAGCCCUUCACAUGAGCUAAAAGGCACAUGCUUUCUCUAGAAUGCUUCUUAUUGGUGGAACCAAUGCUCAAAUAUUGCUAUCCAACUUAAAUAUUGUUUAAACUGAAGAAUCAAAAAAAGUAAAAUCACACAUGCAAAUAUGCAGAACCAGCAUGACUGCUGAUUGCGAAGGUUUGAGGAUGGCGAUUUGGUCAUUCGUCAUCAUCACCCAGUAAUGCAAACGAGUAGGGCGCGAAUUUGUACCCGUCUCCUUCAUAGAACUUGUUUUGGAACUCCACCCAGUGGAGCCUUAACGCAUGUAAAAACGCACUUAAGGUUUCCAUCACUAGCAAUACUCCAACCGUCGCAAAUAUGAACACAAUUAUGCCCACACCAAGAAUAAUCCAAUUAUUGUAUGAAGCUGUAUUCGACACUGCUCCAAGUACAAACUCUAUUGUAUGAAUGAGUUGAUGAACAAAUACUUCGCUGAACUCAAAUUCUUCAUGAUCAUGUGAAUCAUGACCUGCCUCCACCUGCAAAGAGUCUUCCGUCCCUUCAAGG